rnacentral:rRNA from 1 species
UACGGAGGGUGCAAGCGUUAUCCGGAUUCACUGGGUUUAAAGCGUGCGUAGGUGGUUUGUUAAGUCUGAUGUGAAAGCCCUGGGCUCAACCUGGGAAUGGCAUCGGAUACUGGCGAGCUAGAGUGCGGUAGAGGGUAGUGGAAUUCCCGGUGUAGCAGUGAAAUGCGUAGAGAUCGGGAGGAACAUCUGUGGCGAAGGCGACUACCUGGACCAGCACUGACACUGAGGCACGAAAGCGUGGGGAGCAAACAGG